rnacentral:rRNA from 1 species
UACGAGGGGGGCGAGCGUUGUUCGGAAUUAUUGGGCGUAAAGGGCGCGUAGGCGGUGCGGUAAGUCACCUGUGAAACCUCUGGGCUUAACUCAGAGCCUGCAGGCGAAACUGCCGUGCUGGAGUGUGGGAGAGGUGCGUGGAAUUCCCGGUGUAGCGGUGGAAUGCGUAGAGAUCGGGAAGAACAUCAGUGGCGAAGGCGGUCUGCUGGGCCGUUGCUGACGCUGAGGCGCGACAGCGUGGGGAGCAAACAGG